rnacentral:rRNA from 1 species
CCCUUAGAUGUUCUGGGCCGCACGCGCGCUACACUGAUGAAUGCAACGAGCUCUACCCUUGACCGAAAGGCCCGGGUAAACUUGUGAAACUUCAUCGUGAUGGGGAUAGAUUAUUGCAAUUAUUAAUCUUCAACGAGGAAUUCCUAGUAAGCGCGAGUCAUCAGCUCGCGUUGAUUACGUCCCUGCCCUUUGUACACACCGCCCGUCGCUCCUACCGAUUGAAUGGUCCGGUGAAAUCUUCGGAUUGCUGACCAAGAUCCAGCAAUGGAGCUUGGUUGCGAGAAGUUGAUUAAACCUUAUUAUUUAGAGGAAGGAGAGGUCGUAACA